rnacentral:rRNA from 1 species
GACGUAGGGCGCGAGCGUUGUCCGGAUUUAUUGGGCGUAAAGAGCUCGUAGGCGGCUUGUCGCGUCGACUGUGAAAACCCGCAGCUUAACUGUGGGCUUGCAGCUGAUACGGGCGGGCUGGAGUUCGGUAGGGGAGACUGGAAUUCCUGGUGUAGCGGUGAAAUGCGCAGAUAUCAGGAGGAACACCGGUGGCGAAGGCGGGUCUCUGGGCCGAUACUGACGCUGAGGAGCGAAAGCGUGGGGAGCGAACAGG